rnacentral:rRNA from 1 species
UCCAGACUCCUACGGGAGGCAGCAGUGGGGGAUAUUGCACAAUGGGGGGAACCCUGAUGCAGCGACGCCGCGUGGGUGAAGAAGCGCCUCGGCGCGUAAAGCCCUAUCGGCAGGGAAGAAGGAGGACGGUACCUGACUAAGAAGCCCCGGCUAACUACGUGCCAGCAGCCGCGGUAAUACGUAAGGGGCAAGCGUUAUCCGGAUUUACUGGGUGUAAAGGGGGCGCAGGCGGCAGCGCAAGCCAGGAGUGAAAGCCCGGGGCCCAACCCCGGGACUGCUCUUGGAACUGCGCGGCUGGAGUGCAGGAGGGGCAGGCGGAAUUCCUGGUGUAGCGGUGAAAUGCGUAGAUAUCAGGAGGAACACCGGUGGCGAAGGCGGCCUGCUGGACUGCGACUGACGUUGAGGCCCGAAAGCGUGGGGAGCAAACAGGAUUAGAUACCCUGGUAA